AUACCGCAUAACAUCCUGCUUUUGAAGAGGUGGAGAUCAAAGCUGGGGAUCGCAAGACCUAGCACUCGAAGAGGGGCCCGCGUCCGAUUAGCUAGUUGGUGAGGUAACGGCUCACCMAGGCUCCGAUCGGUAUCCGGCCUGAGAGGGCGGACGGACACACUGGGACUGAGACACGGCCCAGACUCCUACGGGAGGCAGCAGUGGGGAAUUGUUCGCAAUGGGCGCAAGCCUGACGACGCAACGCCGCGUGGAGGAUGAAGAUCUUCGGGUCGUAAACUCCUUUCGAUCGAGACGAACGGCUUCCGGGUGAACAAUCCGGGAGAGUGACGGUACCGAGAGAAGAAGCYYCGGCUAACUCCGUGCCAGCAGCCGCGGUAAUACGGGGGGGGCAAGCGUUGUUCGGAAUUACUGGGCGUAAAGGGCUCGUAGGUGGCCAUCUAAGUCAGACGUGAAAUCCCUCGGCUUAACCGGGGAACUGCGUCUGAUACUGGAUGGCUUAAGUGUGGGAGAGGGAUGCGGAAUUCCAGGUGUAGCGGUGAAAUGCGUAGAUAUCUGGAGGAACACCGGUGGCGAAGGCGGCAUCCUGGACCACGACUGACGCUGAGUGAGCGAAAGCCAGGGGAGCAAACGGGAUUAGAUACCCCGGUAGUCCUGGGCCCUAAACGAUGAAUGCUUGGUGUGACGGGUAUCGAUCCCUGUCGUGCCGAAGCUAACGCAUUAAGCAUUCCGCCUGGGGGAGUACGG
rnacentral:rRNA from 1 species